UUCUGGUGAUUUAGUCUAUCGUGCACUACCUCUUCCCAUUCCGAACAGAGAAGUAAAAGCGAUAAACGCUGAUGAUAGUCGUCAAGGCGAAAGUAGGCUUCGCCAGAAC
rnacentral:rRNA from 1 species